UUUGUGAUAUGAGGAAGCAUUGCAAAGUAGAAUGCAAUUAAUCGUCUAGGGAGAAUAGUAAACAUUUCUGACUCUUUUUAUUCCUCCCAACAACUUCACAGUAUAAAAAAAAGCAAGAUAACAAUGCAGGCUUGAAGUUGCUUAUCAGAAUUUUCAAGUACUCCGAGCGUUUAUCCUCAGUGAGAGCUGGAGGGAUCCAUUUCUAGAAUAUUAUUAUUGUCUGCCCUUUUAGCAAGAAACUGUCUUGCUGGUUUUGUUUAAUUAAACUGCUGCUGUCAAUUACUACCUGCAAAGAGCACGAGAGUAUGGAACAGUGAACUUCAGCAGGAGCUCAGCAGGCACCAGGGCGGUGUGAACUCCCUUUACACUCCCUGCACAUUUAUUGACAGUGGGAGGGUGGUUGCGAGAUAAAAUUCCUCAUUUCUGUUCAUUUCGCACUCCCUCCAAGGAAAUAGGAAUCAUCCGCGAUUGAUGCAGCACCAUUAAUGAAACAUCAGGAUUUCCAUCCCAAGUUGCCAUGUUUGCUCUAGUCCCAAGAGCUUUGUGUUUGUGGUCCUUUCCUGUUGUCCUGGUGCAGGCUUCCUCCCGCUCCUGGCACUCUAGUUCCAAUUCUGCAAGCAAGGUUUUAUUCCUGCUGGUUUGGUUUUUUUUCAGAAGGGGUCAGCUUUAUGCUUAGCUGUUUACCCAGGCUCUGGGGCCAGCGGCCACGUGAAGGUAGAGCAGUCCCGAAGCACAGGAAAACAAAGAGCUGUCCUUUCCGCCCGUACACCGUGUUCCCUUCAGCUCAGCUGGAGACUUCCUCGGGCAGCAAGAAGCCUCACCGCUGGGCUGCAGCCGAGUCUGGCAAGUGCUGCUGUGUGAAAAAUGACAAUCUGGUUUUUCUUUUAAACUGGCCACCAGCUGAGCGAUGGCUCCUAGUACUCAGGAGCUGAAAAGGUGUCCUCUGAUAAACUUCCUGGGCCAGCAGCAGCCUCUUGUACUCACUGCCGCUGUGCCCUGUAACCGAGGACUGCAGUUUGGUUAUGAGCUGUUCGGAAGUCCCCUCCCUUUUUCAAAGUCUCCCCUUUUUGGCCCCAAAACAAGUGUGAGCACAAGUGAGAGUGACGUAUAUGGGCUUAAAUUAAUUGGAUGCAAUCUCUGACCAAAAUAACUGCACUCAUGGGAUGAUACAACCAAAGCAGCUCCACCACCAAGACUUUUUUCUUUUGGGGAAUCUAAUUUUUCUUUAGGGAAUUCUUUUCAGAGAAGUUGAAGGCUUUGUGUGCUUUCCAAUGGCCAUCUAUUAAAGAUUGUUCUCUUCUCAGCUUGACCAUUGAGGAUAAACAACUCUGGGAGUGAGAAGAAAUGAAGACAUUCCAUCAUUUGCCUGCUGAACAAAACUGUUGUUUUCUAAAGAGCGCUAAUCAGCUACUGAGACACCUGAAAACAGACCCUUAUUUUCACCCAUUAUGAGCCUUUGCAGAGUGUGUCACAUCCUGUGCACUAAGAAGCUGUCAGCAAAGCAUUCAAAAUCGAGAGACCUCACCGGGGCCAUGUGACCACACAUUGUAAAUACAGACAUUUCUUUCAGCUUUUAAAGACAAAGUUCAAUUCAAGAAAUCUUUGUCUACAUGAUCAUGCAUUCAAGGAUCAACCUGAAGCCAAAAUAAAUUUGUUUCAUAUUAUAGCAUUUCCAUUACAAUAUUCAACAAGUAAGCAGGAUAGAUACUGCAGCACGCUCCUACAGUGGUGAAAGGGCUGUACUGGAAUCACUCUGUGUAAUUGUACUGGGAUAGUGGGGCAAAUUCACAGUCACCUCCAAGUUCCCUUCCAGCCCAUGGGAGAGCUGCAUAAAUAUUUGAGUGAGAUCUUCAGGGAGCUGAUCUGCCAUGGAGGUUGUCAUAAGUCUACUAAAGGAGAAUCUUCAGUCAUGGGUCUGAAAAAACAUAGAAAGGACUGCACUAAUCGAGCCAUGCCAAGAGUAUUGUUCAAGUAGUUAAAGACAGUGACAUAUGCCAAGUCUCAGAACCAACCACUUUGCUUUUCCUCUGAUAAAACUUGUAACAAGCCACUUUCCCCAUGUCUGAGGAGGAAAGCCGGGAUGGACCCCUGACCAUGAGAAAGGACCCACAGUGUCACUCUGUCCUUCCAUGAAAACCAAUUAAAAUUCCUUCAUAGGGAACACAACCUUUAGGUUGUGUUUUUUUCCAGCUGCCAUUAUAAAUAGUAGCAAGGGAAAAAAAAGUUUUUAAUUUGUGCAAAUGCUUUGACAAAGCUGCGCUUCAUCCUUGUAUAAAUAUUGCCCCUGUAACACUGCCAAGGAAUGGCCUUGAGGAUCUGCAGCCAAAACAACCAGACCUGCUCCUAUCUGAGUCCAUGAGACCUACGCAUAAUUCAUCUUGUGACUGGGAUUUCAGCUCUACCAAAACUGCCUACAAGCCCCUCCUGACUGGAAAUCCAGACUGCUGUUCCGUGACUUCUGUGCAGCAUUUCACGGGUGGCCAGGGCAAGUUUUGUAAGGAAAAAUACUUUUAUUAGACAAACUGACAAAGCUGGAGAGAAAGGGCAAGCUUUCAAAUAAGCAAUUCCUUUCUGAACAGUUGGACUUGUGUGCGUGGGUGCUUAUCUGUUCUUUUGCAGUAAUCCAAUAAAAGAUAAACUCUCUCCCCCUCGAAGCCAUUACCCCAUUAAACCCUAAACCAUCAUGACUGAAAUACUGUGGCUAACUGCAAAAAUGAUGAUGGAGAUAAGGAGAAGGGAAUCUGUUUAACUAAAGAGGGAUUAACUAUACAGAAUGAACAG